CCUACGGGAGGCAGCAGUGGGGAAUAUUGCACAAUGGGGGAAACCCUGAUGCAGCGACGCCGCGUGAGUGAAGAAGUAUCUCGGUACGUAAAGCCCUUUCAGCAGGGAAGAAAAUGACGGUACCUGACUAAGAAGCCCCGGCUAACUACGUGCCAGCAGCCGCGGUAAUACGUAGGGGGCAAGCGUUAUCCGGAUUUACUGGGUGUAAAGGGAGCGUAGACGGGAGCACAAGUCUGGUGUGAAAUCCCGGGGCUUAACCACGGAACUGCAUUGGAAACUGUUCGUCUGGAAUGCAGGAGGGGUAAGCGGAAUUCCUAGUGUAGGGGUGAAAUGCGUAGAUAUUAAGAGGAACACCAGUGGCGAAGGCGACUCUCUGGUCUGUAACUGACGCUGAGGUUCGAAAGCGUGGGUAGCAAACAGGAUUAGAUACCCUUGUAGUC
rnacentral:rRNA from 1 species